UGGAGAGAGGCUCUAAUUGCCAAAAUGCCUGGGAAUCCUCCCGUGGCACUUGGCUGAGCCCUGGAGUCAGGCAGGGCUGGAAGUCUGCUCGUUAGACACCACUUCAUUUGGAGGGACCUCUGCAGCUCCUGGAGCCUCACUUGGCAGAGGCAGGGAAGGGAUUGAAUUCCACCCGGGAAGCAGAACCAGCUCCACGGCCGACUCCCACCACACUGCACAGCUUGGGAACACCCCCAAAGCAAACAGGCACAAAACCAGCAGGUUAAGGGGGCCAGGGGGGAGAAUGUUCAGCCGAUUCCAGGCAGGAAUCCUCUUCUCCCAAGCCCGAAUAAUGGCCCGUCCUGGUCUCCUUAGUAACUGCAGCUGCCACAUCACUUUUGACAGCGGAGCAUCCUUUGUAUCCUGGUUCCCGCCGGCUCCCGGCGCUUCUUGCACUGGCAAUUGUCUGGAAUUUCUCCAAAUGAGCAACUUUUGUGUGUGUGUGGAGGGGGGGGAGGUUGUUUGUGCUGCCAGAAAGGGGCUUUUUGUGUUUCCUUCCUUGAAGUCAAGUGGGAGCCUUUGGGGGGGAUCACAUUUACUGAGGUAUCUCCUGGUGGGGUCCCACCCCCCCCACUCCCCAAUCCAAGUGCUGCUCCUGUUAUUUCUGCAAACACUUUCCCAAGGCUCUUUCAAACCUCUGCAGGAAAAGUCCUCUCGUUGAUUAUGGCACUAAAAGGCUCUGUGGAUUUUGGAACCAGCUCCUAUCUUGCUGUAGGUGUUGCACCUCCUGAAGCUCUGCCAGCAGCCAGGAAACCUCCCUGAGCUGUGGAGAAGGAAUUUAGUCUGGGAAAGCUGGAGCAUAAAACCUGUUCUUGGGGUAACACCCGUCCUGGAACUCUGGGCAUCCAGGGGGGUUUUGGAGUCAGCCUCCUGCUCCUGGGUGUGGGAGUUUGGGGGGAAAGGGAACCAGGGGGGAGAAGCAGCUUUUUUUUGAUCUUUUCUGUAGAAGGAAAUGUGCCAAAAAAAGUGGGAGACUGAAGUUUGGAUGUCUGGGGAAGGAGAAGAGUUUGGGAAUACCCACAUAGGUGUGAGCCUGGAGUUUGGAUCCCUGGGAAGGGGAAGAGGUUGGGAAUACCCAUCAGAGGUGCAGGACGAGCCCCUGCACAAGCAACAGCAGCCAAAUAUCCAGGUGAUAGUCCAAGUCCUGGUGGCCCCCAGAGCUGGACCCCAUUCCCAGUUCCUGGAAGGACCGGGAUGGAGCUGGAUUUGGACAGGGAUCACAGCACUGCCUCAUUCCCAACCCCACCGCUUCAUUCUCCUGCUCCUCUGAGGACACGGAUCAUUUCCAGUAAAAACACUUGGCCUGCCCUGGUGCCACCAGGAAGAUUUUAUUCCCUCUCCCCAGGUCAGCGUGGGGAGGAGUUUCUUUUCCUGCAGAGUGGAUUCCAUCCUGCUCCCAGAGCUCCAGCCCAGCCCCUGCCCCGCGGGGUCAGAUCCGGGCAGGGAGAGCUGUUGGGAUCGGACACGGAGGAGAUGGAGGGAAAACACAUGAAUCAGAGCACCAGGGGAGCCACAUGAAUCACACCUUGUGUCAGCAGCCCUGACAGGCUCCUGCAGGACUUCUCUGCCCAGGAAGCCAGUUCCAAGUCCACGGAACCCCCCAGGGUAAGCGGGGCCGGGGUGGCACCCUGGGACAGUCCUUCCCACCCAUCCCAGCUCCCUGUGUCCAUCCCAACAGCCCUUCACACCCCAAAGUGCUGGGAAAACCACCAAGGCGGUGGGAAAACUCAUCCCCAGCUCCUGCUGCUGAAGAACUGGGCUGGGGGAGAGGAGGUGGCUCCAGUGGUGCCUUUGUCCCCCCUGAGGUCUCUCUUCCCUCUGCUCCAGGUGUGACCCUCCCUCUGGAACCCCCUUGGCCUGGGGCCACCAACCCUUUGGGAUCACGUUGGCCCAGACCUGGGCAAACCAUCCCUUAUUGCACCGAGGAACUCGAGUCCUGCUCGUGGCUUCCUGUCCCACUUCCCAUCUCCCAAAUUCAGCCCUUGCCUUUGUGUCUCCAAGGACCACAGAUCCAGGCCGGGCUUAGCCUAAAAUCCCUCCUCUUUGACAUCGGGAAAGAUGGAAAAUUCUCCUCUUCCUUCCUCACUUCUGGUUUCUGGGGACCGUCCUUGCCCACACAACCACCCCCCAUCCCUCCCCCCGCCCCCCAGCCCCGCCUGUCACCGCGGACACCCCGGGGGUGUCACCCCGACGGGAAGUAGGGAACGUCGCUGUGGUAGUUGUAGUCGGGACACACCUUCUGCACCAGCCUGUAGUCCGUGCUGUAGAAGGUGAUGUAGAUGCAGAUGACCUUGAAGGGCUUGGAGCAGGCCCAGGACACGUGGCUGCGCGUGUGCUCCUGCGAGCAGGUCUUGGCCGGGUCGAAGGUGCACAGCGAGGUCUUCCUGGCGCGAUCCACCCUCUCGUGCUCCACGCGGCAGUUGAAGAUCUUGGACUCCUUGGCCUCGAUGAAGAUCUGCUGCUCCAGGUCGAACUCCACGGCCUUGGUGGGCGGCACGAGGCUGACAGAGAUGUUGCCCUGCCCGGUGGAGUUGUGCUGGAAGAACACGUUGACGGUGCCGUUGCCGUGAUCCACCACCUUGCCGGUGAUCAGCAGGUUCAGCUUCACCGUCUUGAUGUUGGAGUAGAAAUCUCCCCAGCCAAAAAUCUUCUUGAGCUUGCCCGAGGCCGGCCCCAAGUCCCUCUGUGCCCUGGGCUGUGGAGGCUGCUCCCGCUCCGACAGGUUCUCCAGGAUAUCCCACAGCUGCCGGGAGCCGCUCGCCAGCUCCAGGAGGGUUGUGUUCUGCAGGAGGGUUGGGGCCACGAGGGGCUUUGGGAAGAGCAGCUCCCUCAUCUUCUGUGCUGGGGCUCUCUCCUGGCUCUGGGCUUCCCGCUGCUCUGCACCUUUCCCGGGAUCCUCUGGACCACAGAGCACCUGGACACGGCAAUGGAGGAGCGGUGUAGGGAGGGAUGGACGAGUGGAUUUGGGAAUUGGUGCCAGCUGCCAGCAACCCCCGUCCCUUCGCCAGCGCGACCCCCGGCCCCUGCAGCCCCCUUUUCCCUUCCCUUCCCCUCCCCAGCGCUCACCAGCAGCGAGAUGCUCCCCUGGAUGAGGAGGAGGACGCAGCUCCGAGGAAGAUGCAUUUUCCAGCCGGUGCCGCCGCCUUCUCCGCGGCUCCGAAUUUGCGGAGGGUUCGGUUCCGAGACACCUCCGUGACGCCGAUGGAGAGCUCGGAGCCCUGAGAGCCGCGUUCCCUCCUCCACGGGAGGGAUGAAUCCCUCAAAAACGAGCUUCCCGGUAGCCAGGGCUGUUCAACUCCAGCAUAUUCAUCCAAGAGCGGCGCUGGAAGGGCCCUGGAGCCUCCUAAAAGCCGCGGGAACGCGGAGUUGCAGGAUAUAUGGAGGCACUAACCCGGGCUGGCCCCGGCGGCGCCGGGCACCUUUAACGGGCUGCACGUCCCAAACUCCUGUGAUUUCCAUAAAAGAUCCUCGUAAAACUUCCAAA